rnacentral:rRNA from 1 species
CCCGCUCAGAAACUCAAAGGAAUUGACGGGGAGCACCACAACAGGUGGAGCCUGCGGUUUAAUUGGACUCAACGCCGGAAAUCUCACCGGAUAAGACAGCUGAAUGAUUGUCGGGCUGAAGACUCUACAUGACUAGCUGAGAGGUGGUGCAUGGCCGUCGUCAGUUCGUACUGUGAAGCAUCCUGUUAAGUCAGGCAACGAGCGAGACCCACGCCAACAGUUGCCAGCAUGGCCUCCGGGCUGAUGGGGACACUGUUGGGACCGCCUCUGCUAAAGAGGAGGAAGGAAUGGGCAACGGUAAGUCAGCAUGCCCCGAAUUAUCCGGGCUACACGCGGGCUACAAUGGGCAGGACAAUGGGUAUCGACACCGAAAGGUGAAGGCAAUCUCUUAAACCUGUCCGUAGUUCGGAUUGUGGGCUGUAACUCGCCCACAUGAAGCUGGAAUCUGUAGUAAUCGCGUUUCAACAUAACGCGGUGAAUGUGUCCCUGCUCCUU